CAGACAGCACAAGAGAGGUAGGUACUGUAUCAUAAUGCUACCAGUAUUAAUUAAUUAAUUAAUUAGACAGAUCACGAUCACCUCUUAAUGUGAAGAAAACCACAUCAACUGAUCAAAGUAAUAAAGAAAAACAGGCAAAAGUUGACAACGAUGAAUACAAAAACAUGGUAAUUAAUAAUUAAAAGCAUUUAAUUAAUUAUUGCGUAAUGAGACUCCUGCUGAAAGGCUCAAAGCUAAAGUAAAGGUACUCUUAGACAAGACCACGCCCUCUGGAGCCACGCCUCCACCCAAUCCGGUACAAGUACUUGAGCUGGAAACAGAGAAUGAGUUUAAACCACAGAGUUUCACAUCAAAAAGAAAAGACAAGAAUAAUCAAGAGGAUAAAGUUUCCGAAGGUACUUCUAUUGGUCGACAUGACGAUGCAAUGUUUGGUGCAACUAAACGAGACGAUGAAGGGAUGGAAAUAAUUUCACACGUACCGUCUCUAAUUACAAAAACAAUCGAAUUACCGGUUCUCAGUGAUGCUGAGGUCAGCAGAUUAUCGGAAGAAAGAGCUUUAAAAUGGAAAGAAAAAUUAAAACUUUUACGAGAAAAAUAUAUACAUGUACAUAACUAAAUAAUUAUUAAGCAACAAGAACAAUAACAAUAAUAAUAAUAAUAAUAAUAAUAAUUGCAGAUGGCAUUUGAAAUGAAGUGUGUCUUAUAUAAUACAUCUGUGGAUUAAUUGAUGAAUAUUAUUAAUUAUUAUAUAAA